UGGCUCAGUGGUAGAGUGCUUGCCUCACAUGCAUGAGGCCCUGGGUUCGAUGUCUCAG
rnacentral:tRNA from 1 species